rnacentral:misc_RNA from 1 species
GUGUGUGUGUAUAUAUAUAUAUUACUUUGCACGUUUUUUUAUAGAAUGCUUAGAAAUGUCGAACUAGAGAUGCGUUCUGGGUAGUUGUGAGUAAUGCCAUUUUUUACUUUCUCAUUGCUGUUACUAGAAUUUUUUUUUUCCUCUUUAUUGAGUCUUUGGUGCUGGAUUUAAGUAUCCAAUAUGUACUCAUAGGUGAUUGGCAUUUGAAUUUUCUCAAUAGAAUCUCUUAGUGGGGAAUGCUUGAAUGUACCUUUCUUCCUAGUUCUGAUUACAAUGCUCUCUGAUAAGAAUCAUGACUUGGAAAUUUUGAUAUGUCGAACUGCAGAGGAUCAUUUUCCUAUUUCCAACUUUGAGUGUUGAUUUAACUUCGCUUGCAUAGCUUCAGGAGACUAUAUUCUAGUACUGAUUUAGAAGCCAAUUGGAUAUGAAUAUGC